GACGAACCGUGCGAACGUUAUUCGGAAUCACUGGGCUUAAAGGGCGCGUAGGCGGGUCACCAAGUCCGGGGUGAAAUCCCACGGCCCAACCGUGGAAGUGCCUUGGAUACUGAUGACCUCGAGGGGGUAGGGCGUGCGGAACUCAGGGUGGAGCGGUGAAAUGCGUAGAUAUCCUGAGGAACACCGGUGGCAAAAGCGGCGCGCUGGACCCCUUCUGACGCUGAGGCGCGAAAGCCAGGGAGCAAACGGG
rnacentral:rRNA from 1 species